rnacentral:rRNA from 1 species
CGCGGCCUAUCAGCUUGUUGGUGAGGUAAUGGCUCACCAAGGCGACGACGGGUAGCCGGCCUGAGAGGGCGACCGGCCACACUGGGACUGAGACACGGCCCAGACUCCUACGGGAGGCAGCAGUGGGGAAUAUUGCACAAUGGGCGAAAGCCUGGUGCAGCGACGCCGCGUGAGGGAUGACGGCCUUCGGGUUGUAAACCUCUUUCGGCAGGGAAGAAGCGAAAGUGACGGUACCUGCAGAAGAAGCGCCGGCUAACUACGUGCCAGCAGCCGCGGUAAUACGUAGGGCGCAAGCGUUGUCCGGAAUUAUUGGGCGUAAAGAGCUCGUAGGCGGCUUGUCACGUCGGGUGUGAAAGCCCGGGGCUUAACCCCGGGUCUGCAUUCGAUACGGGCUAGCUAGAGUGUGGUAGGGGAGAUCGGAAUUCCUGGUGUAGCGGUGAAAUGCGCAGAUAUCAGGAGGAACACCGGUGGCGAAGGCGGAUCUCUGGGCCAUUACUGACGCUGAGGAGCGAAAGCGUGGGGAGCGAACAGGAUUAGAUACCCUGGUAGUCCACGCCGUAAACGGUGGGAACUAGGUGUUGGCGACAUUCCACGUCGUCAGUGCCGCAGCUAACGCAUUAAGUUCCCCGCCUGGGGAGUACGG